UACAGAGGGUGCAAGCGUUGUUCGGAAUUAUUGGGCGUAAAGCGCGUGUAGGCGGCUUUGCAAGUCGGGUGUGAAAGCCCUCAGCUCAACUGAGGAAGUGCGCCCGAAACUGCAUGGCUUGAGUGCCGGAGAGGAUGGCGGAAUUCCCCAAGUAGAGGUGAAAUUCGUAGAUAUGGGGAGGAACACCGGUGGCGAAGGCGGCACUCUG
rnacentral:rRNA from 1 species